UGAACCUGCGGAAGGAUCAUUAUUGUAAAACCGAGGUGCGAGGGCUGUCGCUGACCUUUUCGUCGUGCACGCCCGAGCACUUUCACACAAUCCAUCUCACCCCCUUUGUGCACCACCGCGUGGGUCCCUCUCUGGCUUGUCCGGAGGAGGGGGCUCGCGUUUUCACACAAACUUGAAGUAGUGUAGAAUGUCCUUUUUUGCGAUAACACCCAAUCAAUACAACUUUCAACAACGGAUCUCUUGGCUCUCGCAUCGAUGAAGAACGCAGCGAAAUGCGAUACGUAAUGUGAAUUGCAGAAUUCAGUGAAUCAUCGAAUCUUUGAACGCACCUUGCGCCCCUUGGCAUUCCGAGGGGCACACCCGUUUGAGUGUCGUGACAUUCUCAAAAAAUCCCUUCCUUUUUGGAAGGAUUUUUGGACUUGGAGGCCUUUUGCUGGUUUCACCUUUGAAGCGAGCUCCUCCCAAAUGUAUUAGUGGGGUCUGCAUUGUCGGUCCUUGGCGUGAUAAGUUGUUUCUACGUCUUGGAUUUUUGGCGCUGUACGCCCGCUUCUAACUGUCUCAUCGACAACGAUGGUGUUCCGGUCGCCGCCGAUCUUUCGGUGGGAGGCUUGACCCACGAAACAAACCUUGACCUCAAAUCG
rnacentral:rRNA from 1 species